rnacentral:rRNA from 1 species
AGCAGCCGCGGUAAUUCCAGCUCCAAUAGCGUAUAUUAAAGUUGUUGCAGUUAAAAAGCUCGUAGUUGAAUUUCGAGACCGGUUUACUGGUCGUGCUUUUGUACGUACUGGUAUAAUCGGUUUCUCUUUUCUGACGAACUAUAAAUGCCAUUAAUUUGGUGUUAUAGGGAAUCAGGACUGUUACUUUGAAAAAAUUAGAGUGUUUAAAGCAGGCUCACGCUUGAAUACAUUAGCAUGGAAUAACGAAAUAGGACGUUUGAUUUUAUUUUGUUGGUUUCUAGGAUCGACGUAAUGAUUAAUAGGGAUAGUUGGGGGCAUUAGUAUUCAAUUGUCAGAGGUGAAAUUCUUGGAUUUAUUGAAGACUAACUACUGCGAAAGCAUUUGCCAAGGAUGUUUUCAUUAAUCAAGAACGAAAGUUAGGGGAUCGAAGACGAUCAGAUACCGUCGUAGUCUUAACCAUAAACCUAUGCCGACUAGGGAUCGGAUGAUGUUAAACUUAUGACUCAUUCGGCACCGUUAC